rnacentral:rRNA from 1 species
GAUUUCUGGUUUGAUGUACCUGUCCCGCUGCGGUAACGCCGUGAGUGACGGAGUAUGUUUGCCAUCCUUCUAGAGAGCGCAGGCGACCCUUUACUGGGCCUGUUUGUGUCAUCUAGAUCUUUUACUUUGAAAAAAUUAGAGUGUUUCAAGCAGGCGUUUUGCCAUGAAUACAUUAGCAUGGAAUAAUGAUUUAGGACUUCGGUUCUAUUUUGUUGGUUUCUAGGACUGAAGUAACGAUUGAUAGGGACAGUUGGGGGUGCUAGUAUUCAGCGGCCAGAGGUGAAAUUCUUGGAUUCGCUGAAGACUAACUUAUGCGAAAGCAUU